UACGGAGGAUGCGAGCGUUAUCCGGGAUUUAUUGGGUUUAAAGGGUGCGUAGGCGGCUUUUUAAGUCAGCGGUGAAAUUUUGCAGCUUAACUGUAACAGUGCCGUUGAUACUGGGGAGCUAGGAUUUGGUUGCUGUGGGUGGAAUGUGUGGUGUAGCGGUGAAAUGCUUAGAGAUCACACAGAAUAUCGAUUGCGAAGGCAGCUCACAAAGCCAAAGAUUGACGCUGAGGCACGAAAGUGUGGGGAUCAAACAGGAUUA
rnacentral:rRNA from 1 species